UUUAUUUCACUUGUUUAUUUCAACGGUAAGAUAGUCAGGGACAGGACUGCCCCUCCUUAUCUUUUACAUACAGUGCCUUGCACAAUGGAGCCUUGAUCUCAGCUGCAAACUAAGUGCUACUGUGAUACCAAUAACGAAUGAUAGAAACUUAAUUUGGCAAAGCAACCCAAUUCUGUAGCUAGCUUAGAAAGAAAACAUCGAAGCAUGCACAGCAAGAACCCCAAAUUAAAACCACUAAAACCCCAAAUGAGCAGAGAAAAGGGGCGAGCAAAGACACAGAAAGGAUAAAUCAGAUGCAAGUAGCAUUUCCACCAGCGAAUAACAUCCCAAGGAGAGAGACAGAGCUGGAUAUCAAUGUUACGAACAUCCUACGUGACACCCACACUUUAGCAACACCGCCUAAGUACAAGCCUUUUUCAAUCUGGCCUUGGGCUGAUUGUGACCUGGUGGCCCAAGGGUGAUCUUUGGUCACCUCACCAGACAGCAAGACAAGCAGAGAGCAAAGAGUCCCCAGAAAUGGGGAAAUCUGAGGCCGGGGAGGAGUUGAGCAUGCACUGGGCUCAGCUUUGGUCUGAUAAGUUUAUCAAGCACUGCCGGCUGCUAACUGUCAGCCGGCGAAGUGGGCCUGUUAGGGAGGAGGAACAGCUCCCAGGGCAAGAUAGGACAGCCCAGGCCUUAUCGGAGAGCCUGAGCCAAAGAGGGAACUGGAGAGCGAGCACUUUCCAACCACUUCAUCUGAACAGCAGACAGAUUGGCAGGAAAGGCCUGUCAGCCCUUCGCUUCUGCCACCCCGACAACAAGCCCUGGCCCAUGCGAAUAACCGAUACAUACUACUUCAAAGGGUUGUACCAUGGCUCACCAGGACGACAGCUGGCAAGGUAAGGAUGGAGCAACACGAAACCUUAAGGAAAGUAACUAUGAAGAACUGGAGUGCCUCAGACCCAGUCACCCACCCAGGGCUGCCAACACUUCCCAGAGGACUUGAACAGAUAUGUGGAAAAGCACAGAGUAGGAAUGAAAGCAGAACAAAGCACUCCUUACCCCUUUUCCAAGGGCUACUAGAGGGAACAGGGCAUUAGUGUAGUUACUUACAGUGCCCAGCUGCUCUUGCCUAUGAAAGGUGAAGGAAGCACUCACAGCACAACACAGAGGAAAUUAGUGAAAAAUGGAAGGCUGAAUGGGUAGCAAACCUCAGGCCAGGAGGCUUCUGCAGAUACCAAAACACAUGAAGAAAAAAACAAAAACUGCUAUAGCAAUCCCAAAGUAUUUUAUUCCUGGUGGACAGCAUUUUCUUUCUCACUCUAUCCAAUGUUUCAGGCUCUAUAAACAUUGACUGCCUCCAAACCUCACACAAAGAACUAACACCACCAAAGCCAUACACAAAGGACACCCUGUUGGUCCCCUUUUAAAGCAUUUCCCUUUGCAGUGCUGCCACCUGCUCUCACAGGGUUAGGGGGUUUCCUCUCAAGUCUAACAAUAAUCAGGUGUAUUCCUUAAAGCUUGACUGUCAGGGUCAAGGGAAUUAGAUGUUUAUUAAGCCUGAUGACUGCAGAGAACUGAAAAUGUGGUGCCACUGCACCCUGCAGGCUGAAAACAGAGCAUCCAUUUAUUUAUUUAUUUAUUUAUUUAUUUUUGAUCAUGGUUUCUAAGCCAGGCCAUCACUUUUGGGAGGGAGGCUGGCUAAGGACUCUGGGGCAUUUGGGUCUAGCAGCUCUGCUUCUGCCCCAUACCAGAGCAACAAACAAUUCUAUCGCCUACACUGCUGGGAUGAGCAGGAAAACCAGCAGCAGCUGGGACACAAACGCACACAAACACACGCCACCAACUCCCCAGCUGGAGCUGCCCCACACACUGUAGGUGCUGCUCGUGGGGUACCCGGGGAUGGGGAGCACAGUGGGACAAGGGGAAGUUUGGCUCUGUGGGGCCAGGAGUGCAGCCCCGGCCCUGGGGAAGGGUUGGUGGCUGCACGUGCCCCUCAUGUGCUGCUGGUGUUGGAUGGUGCCCACAGUGCGAAGCUGCCUGGCACCAAAGUCCAGGGGAGAUGUGCUGUCAGGGCCCAGUGCUGAAGGAGACCUUCACCUGCUGAAGCUGCUGCCUUGUUCUGCUUUAUCCCUCUUGAUCUGGUACAACAGACAGGCAUGCUUGGGAAGGGGAUUGCAAGAGAGGGGAUCUGGUGAUCUGGGGAAGAUACUACAUCCCCAUGGACAUGACAUGCGGUGUAGGUUGCAUGAGCAUGUCUUUCUGCCUGCUUCCAGGGGGCUGCAGCUGAGUGCAGAGUAUGUUGAGUCAAUGCCAUGUGUCCUGUGACCACAUUCACCGGGCCUGUGCCCUGCUGGCCCCUGGUUACUUUUGCCAGGAGAACAAUCUGCAAGGUCUCCCACAAGAAACAUCUUUCGAUUUCUCACUGUAGUCCUUCAUUAACACUUAGCAAAGCAAACUUAUCUUAAUACCUGUGUUUCCAUUUUACUUUGUCAAUGUCCUCUACUGAUACCCAGUAACUCCAGGAGAGCAGAGGCAGAGCAGGAAGCCUGUUGUGCAGCAAAUACACUUUUCUGCAAAUUAGUGAUCA